AGAGUUUGAUCCUGGCUCAGAUUGAACGCUGGCGGCAGGCUUAACACAUGCAAGUCGAGCGGAGAUGAGGUGCUUGCACCUUAUCUUAGCGGCGGACGGGUGAGUAAUGCUUAGGAAUCUGCCUAUUAGUGGGGGACAACAUUCCGAAAGGAAUGCUAAUACCGCAUACGUCCUACGGGAGAAAGCAGGGGAUCUUCGGACCUUGCGCUAAUAGAUGAGCCUAAGUCGGAUUAGCUAGUUGGUGUGGUAAAGGCUCACCAAGGCGACGAUCUGUAGCUGGUCUGAGAGGACGACCAGCCACACUGGAACUGAGACACGGUCCAGACUCCUACGGGAGGCAGCAGUGGGGAAUUUUGGACAAUGGGCGCAAGCCUGAUCCAGCAAUGCCGCGUGCAGGAUGAAGGCCUUCGGGUUGUAAACUGCUUUUGUACGGAACGAAACGGUUCUCUCUAAUAAAGAGGGCUAAUGACGGUACCGUAAGAAUAAGCACCGGCUAACUACGUGCCAGCAGCCGCGGUAA
rnacentral:rRNA from 1 species